UAAUCUUGUUGAUGCUUUGUUUUUCAGGGAAAUCAGGAGUACCUAAGAAACCAUUUGUUGCCAAAUCCUCGUACUUAUAUCAGCGAGCAGGGCUAUUCAUUUUCAAAAAAGACUGAGGUGUUGCUGACAAAGAUUACACCAAUGAAAGAGAUUGUUGAAGUGAUUGAAGGAGGAGAUGCAAUGGAGGAAUGAGGUAUUCUGGUUAUAAAGUGCCCUGAAGUUAUUUCUUCGAAAACUCUCAUUAUCAGCUUCACGUGUUCCAUAGAAUUCGAUUGUCUUAUGUAUGUUGUGACUAUUCUUCGGCUGGAUAUUCUGUUUUCCAUUUUAUCUGUAUCGAAUUUUGUUUCACCAUUUUUAUCUGUAUCGAAGCUUUUGUUAUUUUAUAAUAUUGUUUUUUUAAUGCUAAUUAAUAGUCUGUUUGUUUCCUA